rnacentral:snoRNA from 1 species
UACUAUGGAAACAUUAAUGAAGAGAAAGAAUGAAGGGCCACUAAUGGUGAACCCACUGAGGUAACUGUGAGCCAGGAUAAGAACUUGUUCCAUACUAAAGUAUCUGAGGUAC